AAAUGAAGCUUAAUUUAUUUUUUCACCCUAUCGUGUUAACUGUCUGUGAUUAUGGUUUGUUUUGGAUAAAUCAUAGAUGUUUUAAGUCAAUUUGAUUACUAAUUCAUAAUUAAAUUAGGUUGAAGUGCAUAUAAUACAAAAUAAAAUAAAAUAAAUAUAUUCAAUUAAGCUCAUUUAACUUUGAUUUUGAUAACUAUCAUUUUGCUUUAAUUGUCUGCUGCCUUCGCUUCCUUUGAGAAGCUGAACAAAGUGUGAUAAUUGCAGAGUAGAAGUGGUCUUGAUAAGUUGAGCAAG
rnacentral:misc_RNA from 1 species